rnacentral:rRNA from 1 species
UUGGUUAAGUUAGAAAGGGCGCACGGUGGAUGCCUUGGCACUAGGAGCCGAAGAAGGACGGGACUAACACCGAUAUGCUUUGGGGAGCUGUACGUAAGCGUUGAUCCAGAGAUUUCCGAAUGGGGGAACCCACUAUCUUUAGUCGGAUAGUAUCCUUACGUGAAUACAUAGCGUGAGGAAGGCAGACCCAGGGAACUGAAACAUCUAAGUACCUGGAGGAAGAGAAAGAAAAAUCGAUUUCCUGAGUAGCGGCGAGCGAAACGGAAAGAGCCCAAACCAAGAAGCUUGCUUCUUGGGGUUGUAGGACACUCUAUACGGAGUUACAAAAGAAAGUUAUAAAUGAAGCGGUCUGGAAAGGCCCGCCAAAGACGGUAACAGCCCGGUAGUUGAAAUAGCUUUCCCUCCAGAGUGGAUCCUGAGUACGGCGGAACACGUGAAAUUCCGUCGGAAUCCGGGAGGACCAUCUCCCAAGGCUAAAUACUCCCUAGUGACCGAUAGUGAACCAGUACCGUGAGGGAAAGGUGAAAAGCACCCCGGAAGGGGAGUGAAACAGUUCCUGAAACCGUGUGCCUACAAGUAGUUAGAGCCCGUUAAUGGGUGAUAGCGUGCCUUUUGUAGAAUGAACCGGCGAGUUACGAUUUGUUGCAAGGUUAAGCGGAAAAAGCGGAGCCGUAGCGAAAGCGAGUCUGAAUAGGGCGCAUAAGUAACAGGUCGUAGACCCGAAACCAGGUGAUCUACCCAUGUCCAGGAUGAAGGUAAGGUAAUACUUACUGGAGGUCCGAACCCACGCACGUUGAAAAGUGCGGGGAUGAGGUGUGGGUAGCGGAGAAAUUCCAAUCGAACUUGGAGAUAGCUGGUUCUCUCCGAAAUAGCUUUAGGGCUAGCCUCGAGGUAAAGAGUCAUGGAGGUAGAGCACUGUUUGGACUAGGGGCCCUUCUCGGGUUACCGAAUUCAGAUAAACUCCGAAUGCCAUGUACUUAUACUCGGGAGUCAGACUGCGAGUGAUAAGAUCCGUAGUCGAAAGGGAAACAGCCCAGACCACCAGUUAAGGUCCCCAAAUAUAUGUUAAGUGGAAAAGGAUGUGGGGUUGCUUAGACAACCAGGAUGUUGGCUUAGAAGCAGCCACCAUUGAAAGAGUGCGUAAUAGCUCACUGGUCGAGUGACCCCGCGCCGAAAAUGUACCGGGGCUAAACAUAUUACCGAAACUGUGGAUGAACCUCUU